UUUGGUGUGGUUUCACCGUCAACGCUGAGUGUGGGUGUUGGAAUCUGAGCCGAAUUGUGAGUGAACCCUGCCUUGAUGUUCAUGACCUUCAACGAGGGCUUUGAUCUGACGACUACACAUGAUAUAGUUAUUUGUUUGUGAGCUUAGUGAUGUUUGACAUAUUCACCGAAAGACAGGGUCGUCGCAUGAUCUUGUGUAUUAUAAACUGUAGGGGUUUCAGCAGGGUUGGCAAUUUCAUUUUCCAUUGUUACAGAGAAAGCAGAUAAGCAAUCAUAAAGAAAGAAGAAGAAAGCGACGAUAGAGGAGAUGUACAAUACUGUAAUCUGGGUAACAUGGUUGCAGCCAUUGACCUCUAACAAGAAGAUGUUGAGUGAUGGAAUGAAGUGUGAUCUGUUUACGUAGAUAGACGGGUUGUUAAAAGAUGGAGAUCUGAUUUGUACUCGGAGGUUCUUGCUUCAGGUAUUGUUCCUGAUGAAGUCUUGUUCGUGGUGCUUGUCAACGGGCCCAGCAAGAAGGGACGGUUUGUGAAAGCAAGCAAGAUGCUAGAGGAGUUGAAGAAAAGGGAUGAUGCGACUCCAAAUGUGCUGAUCUACACUACUGUAAUCGGAGGACAUUAUAGAGAAGGAAACCUAGAUAAGACUUUUCAACUUCAAAAAGAGAUGAUUGAGCCUUGAGAUGAAAGAAAGGAAAACAUGAGGAAAGAAGAUAAUUUAAGCGAAUAUGUAUAUUUGAUCAAAAGAAAUGAUCUAUAUGUAUCUUGUGAGUUGUGAAAAAAUCACAAAAUAUAAAAUGUAAAUGUAGACAGAAUCAUUGGGAACAUUAUCUUGCUGCGAUCGGUAUGACUAGCUAGAAGAUAAGCAAUAAUCAAUAUAUAUAUAAUGAGGCUCUUUUCUCUCUUUUGAGAGUGUCCACGUAGACAGUUCAUGGGUCCCACCAAAAUCAUCUUUAUUCAAAACCGAAGCGGAGACUCCGAUCGUCGUCCACCACGAUCAAAGCUAUUAUGUCAUUCAAAGAGAUUUGGAUUCUUCAUCUCCCCCUUGACUCCACCUAUAUAAACUCUCCCGAAUCCAAAUCUUCUUUGAUAGCUUCCAUGGAUAAGAAACAGUCAGAUUUCCAGACCCAACGCUUUGGAUAAAGCUCCGGCAAUAUCGAGCAGCGCAUCCAUGGCUAAGAAUCCAGCGAAAUCACAACAAAAUCUCCAACUGAAUCGAGCACCGGUUCCAUGGAUAAGAAAAAAGGGGGUUGCUUGGCUCCAUCUACAUCCCUGAUGAGAAGAAUUCGGUGAUCAUGGAUUUAUUCCUGCUGCUCGCGCCACUCACUAUCGUCCAUCUUUACGAGACGGUUCCAUAAAGAGUGUUUGAGAAUCGUUGCAGUAUGCGAAGCAUUUAGCCGGUACAAGAAUCCAGAUGCUGUUCGACAAGUUCAAGAGUAUCCUUUUUCUCAUUUAGUUGUUUCAUAGUGUUUAAUCCAUGGUAGCGUUUUGACAUGUUUGCAUCUUUAUUAGUGUCAGACUGCCGAGUUCCUAUGUACUGGGGAUGUUGCCAGUAUUGAAACAACAAAUUGAUGGUGCUAUGGCUCAUGCCCCAAGUUCUCAUCAUGCACGUGUGCCGGCCUGCCAUGAUGAAAAUGCGGUUGGAGUUGCAAGGUACCGGGUUGAGAUGUUAGUUAUUGAUGUAUCUGACCCGCCGUGUUCGUUACUUUUGAUGGUACUGUCAUGUGAUGUUGAACAUGGUGUCACUUCUGCAGAAGAUCGAAGAAGACAUGCUCAAAUAACCUUAAUCCUAGAAAAACCGGAACUGGAACAUAUGUUUGAAUGAUGGAAAAGAGUCCCUUUGAUCAGAAAAAGUUUCCCUUCCUGAGUUCAACCUUCAUGGUCAACAUGACAUCUUAAUGGAAAAGAGUCUUAUUUCUCCUCAUGUAAUUGAUACAGAUUGGUGUGCUAUUUGAGGUUAAAGACUAUUAGUACUUUUCAAUUCCUUAGUUUUGUAAGAAUAUGCCAUAUAGUCUACCUUAAAUUCCACAGAAUACUGAGUAGACAUCAACUCAUUGAGUUUGAGGUAAGAUGUUAAAUCUUUUCUAUCAUCAGCUAAGUCGUUUUUGUGACACAAGACUUUUAUACCAUUGCAUUGAACAGCUCUGUAUUCUUGGAAAUCUCUGUCCUGAAACUGCUGAAGAAGCAGUGGCAAUGGUUCUUUUUCUCAAGGUACAAUAAAGAAAAUUCUAACCUUUUCUAUUUUGUGGAAUUGCUUUUUUGUAGACAAAAGGAAGAGCUUACAGUGAGUAAGAAAUUGAGAAGAUGCUCAAUGAUCUCUCCCUUGUCUAGAGAUUCAAAUAGUGCAAAAAAUCUCGAGAUCUAAGAUUUUAAACAUAUGUCAGGGUGUAAUAUUCUCUUUUUAGCUGAUGUUGUGUGUUUGUAGUUAAAUUAUUAAGAAAGACAGUGACAGAUUAGGGAUGUGAGCAAUCCAUAUACUAAAUAAUCAUGUACACUGUGUUAUACCA